rnacentral:rRNA from 1 species
UACAGAGGGGGCAAGCGUUGUUCGGAAUUACUGGGCGUAAAGGGCGCGUAGGCGCCUUCUAAGUCAGACGUGAAAUCCCUCGGCUCAACCGGGGAACUGCGUCUGAGACUGGAAGGCUUGAAUCCGGGAGGAGGGAUGUGGAAUUCCAGGUGUAGCGGUGAAAUGCGUAGAUAUCUGGAGGAACACCGGUGGCGAAGGCGGCAUCCUGGACCGGUAUUGACG